GCUCCGCGUUCGGCUCCACGUGAACCGUCUGAGCUCACGUCGUACCGCAGUUUCCAUCGGUCAAUCCCGGGGACAAUUCAUCCUAUCUGUGGAGUCGCCAUGAUCCGCCUUCAUCAUGCCUUGCUUGUUCUUCUCUUCGUACUCCUGAUUGAGGACAGCAACGCUCAGCCCAUCUGGGACCGCUUCACUCAACUGGUUUUCGAACCGAAUAGGCUCAAUUACUGGUACACGGCCUGGGAGAAACUUUUCCACAUGGGUCGUUACCAUGUUCACAACCUACCGAAGAUGUUGGCGAUGCCCUUCCAUGGAGCGCAUCGAGUGAUGAGCACAGUCUACAACAUCCGCCAUUGAGGCUUGCCGAAUAAUUUAUAAUCGUCAUAUCUGUGUGUGUAUGUACGUGCGCAAGUAUUUAUUUGAAAUGUAGUUAAAUUCAUAGACAAGUAGCUGUAUGUUCACGUGAGAGGAAUUCGGAAGAAGCACUCAGUAGGCAUCUAGGAAAUAAAGUUCAAGAUUAUUCAUGU